GACGGAGGAUGCAAGCGUUAUCCGGAAUUAUUGGGCGUAAAGCGUCCGCAGGUGGCUGUUCAAGUCUGCUGUCAAAGCGCAGAGCUUAACUCUGUACAGGCGGUAGAAACUGAAGAGCUAGAGUAUGGUAGGGGUAGAGGGAAUUCCCGGUGUAGCGGUGAAAUGCGUAGAUAUCGGGAAGAACACCAGUGGCGAAAGCGCUCUACUGGGCCAUAACUGACACUGAGGGACGAAAGCUAGGGGAGCGAAAGGG
rnacentral:rRNA from 1 species